rnacentral:sRNA from 1 species
CCCUAGCCCAGAUGGAAGCGGCAUCCUUUUUAUUUUUUCUUUAAAAAUAAAAAGAUAUAGCGGACAGCUGGAAAUAGC